AUUGAACGCUGGCGGCAGGCUUAACACAUGCAAGUCGAACGGUAACAUAAGUGCUUGCACUUGAUGACGAGUGGCGGACGGGUGAGUAAGGUAUGGGGAUCUGCCGAAUGGAGGGGGACAACAGUUGGAAACGACUGCUAAUACCGCAUAAAGUUGAGAGACCAAAGCAUGGGACCUACGGGCCAUGCGCCAUUUGAUGAACCCAUAUGGGAUUAGCUAGUUGGUGGGGUAAUAGCUCACCAAGGCGACGAUCUCUAGCUGGUCUGAGAGGAUGACCAGCCACACUGGAACUGAGACACGGUCCAGACUCCUACGGGAGGCAGCAGUGGGGAAUAUUGCACAAUGGGGGGAACCCUGAUGCAGCCAUGCCGCGUGUAUGAAGAAGGCCUUCGGGUUGUAAAGUACUUUCGGUGAUGAGGAAGGUGAUGAAUCUAAUAGGUUUAUUAAUUGACGUUAAUCACAGAAGAAGCACCGGCUAACUCCGUGCCAGCAGCCGCGGUAAUACGGAGGGUGCGAGCGUUAAUCGGAAUGACUGGGCGUAAAGGGCAUGUAGGCGGAUAAUUAAGUUAGGUGUGAAAGCCCUGGGCUCAACCUAGGAAUUGCACUUAAAACUGGUUAACUAGAGUAUUGUAGAGGAAGGUAGAAUUCCACGUGUAGCGGUGAAAUGCGUAGAGAUGUGGAGGAAUACCGGUGGCGAAGGCGGCCUUCUGGACAGAUACUGACGCUGAGAUGCGAAAGCGUGGGAGCAAACAGGAUUAGAUACCGUGGUAGUCCACGCUGUAAACGAUGUCGAUUUGGAGUUUGUUGCCUAGAGUGAUGGGCUCCGAAGCUAACGCGAUAAAUCGACCGCCUGGGGAGUACGGCCGCAAGGUUAAAACUCAAAUGAAUUGACGGGGGCCCGCACAAGCGGUGGAGCAUGUGGUUUAAUUCGAUGCAACGCGAAGAACCUUACCUGGUCUUGACGUCCACAGAAUCUUGUAGAGAUACGAGAGUGCCUUCGGGAACUGUGAGACAGGUGCUGCAUGGCUGUCGUCAGCUUG
rnacentral:rRNA from 1 species